ensembl:lncRNA
GGCUAAGAAUGAGGCCAGAAAGAGAAGUGUUGUCAUGGUUUCAUCAGGAAUAAACAGGGCUCAAUCAUCUAUCCCUGACAAAAUAUGGGAAAAUAGUACCAAUCUCAUAGAGGGCAAAAAGGCACCUCCUUGUGGGUAUUAUGGAUAUUUCUUUUGUAUUUUCUGAAUGAUCCCUAAUGAAAAUACAUCAGUCCAUCUAGUUUUUGGCUUACUUGGGCCAACAAAGUCUUAAGGCGAUUUAUUUUAAAGGUGCACUCCAGUCAUAUGAUGACCCGAUUCAAAUUGACAAGUUCCUCCAACAACAGAGUAAAAAAUAAAGUGAUCUCCCAAUCAAAGUAUGCUGGUCGUUUGGGGAGGGGUGGUACACAGCGGCUGUCGUGGUACACAGCGGCUGUCGUGGUACACAGCGGCUGUCGUAAUUGGCUACAUUCAGAUUUCACUUAUUUUGUGGGACUCCUCAGCAGGAAAGAUAUUGCAUGUGACAGGGGUGCACUUUCAAAGGUCUAUAUUCUUACUGUUAAAAACAAUUGUGUAGGUCAGUGGUUCCCAACUACGGUCCUCAAGUACCCCCAACAGUACACAUUUUCAUUGUAGCCCCAGCCAAGCACAGCUGAUUCAACUUGUCAACUAAUUAUCAGGCUCUCAUUAAGUUGAAUUGGGUGUGCUUGUCCAGGGCUACAACAAAAAUGUGUACUGUUGGGGUUACUCCAGGACCGGAGUUGGGAACCACUGGUGUAGGUAGUACAGCAAUUGUAUCUUUCUCAGAGCGAAGGCGGCUUUAAAUUUCGGGCAUUUUAAACCCACAUUAAAUAAAGCAUUUUGAAGUUACAUUACAUAUUGUACAUAGGCCUGACUUUAUGGAACCAAAGGUAUUUGGACAGACAUUAUUUACAAUAUAUUAGUCAUGUUUAGUCCUUGAUUGAAUAUUCUUUACAUCCAAUGAUUGCCUGAAGGGUGACCCACGGUGGGCAUCUUCCCUGGUGAUGCUCUGCCAGGACUGUACUGUAGCCAUCUUCAGUUCCCAGCUUACAGCCAUCACAAACCCUUCAGCGCAAGCAGUGUUUAUGCAGUGUGCACGGGAUCAUCAGGGACACUUGACAUCCAUCCCAAAAACUGUUUGCCCUCCUACCAUCAGGCAGGUUGUACAGGUCUCUUCAUUCCCACACCAGCAGGCUGAGGAACAGUUUCUGCCCACCCACUGUAACCCUGCUCAACUCUGUGACCCAUCACUAAUCAUACACCCCCCCUUGUUACAGGAUUCAUCCUCCUGCUGUCAGCAUUUACAUCAUAACCCUCCCCCCUGUGAAGUCUUCCAAGGACGUAAUGGCUGACAGCCGUCCCUCCUAGUGCUCCUGAACUGUCACACUGAGUUAAUGUCCUCCAGAUUUUGUUACGGUGAGCAUUAUUUGGUCAUCCACUGUAAAGGCCUUCCUUGGUCUACUAGGUCAUUUGACCAGUGCUUGCUUUCUUUU